GAUGAAGAACGUAGCAAAAUGCGAUACUUGGUGUGAAUUGCAGAAUCCCGUGAACCAUCGAGUUUUUGAACGCAAGUGGCGCCCGAAGCCUUUUGGCCGAGGGCACGUCUGCCUGGGCGUCACGCAUCGCGUCGCCCCCCACAAUUCUCCGUAAAGGGAACAUGUGUUUUGGGGGCGGAUAUUGGUCUCCCGUGCUCAUGGCGUGGUUGGCCGAAAUAGGAGUCCUUUCGAUGGACGCACGAACUAGUGGUGGUCGUAAAAACCCUCGUCUUUUGUUUCGUGCUGUUGCUCGCAAGGUAAACUCUUUAAAAACCCCAAUGUGUCGUCUCUUGACGACGCUUCGACCGCGACCCCAGGUCAGGCGGGACUACCCGCUGAGUUUAAGCAUAUCAAUAAGCGGAGGA
rnacentral:misc_RNA from 1 species